rnacentral:rRNA from 1 species
GAUGAACGCUGGCGGCGUGCCUAAUACAUGCAAGUCGAGCGAACGGACGAGAAGCUUGCUUCUCUGAUGUUAGCGGCGGACGGGUGAGUAACACGUGGAUAACCUACCUAUAAGACUGGGAUAACUUCGGGAAACCGUAGCUAAUACCGGAUAAUAUUUUGAACCGCAUGGUUCAAAAGUGAAAGACGGUCUUGCUGUCACUUAUAGAUGGAUCCGCGCUGCAUUAGCUAGUUGGUAAGGUAACGGCUUACCAAGGCAACGAUGCAUAGCCGACCUGAGAGGGGGAUCGGCCACACGGGAACUGAGACACGGUCCAGACUACUACGGGAGGCAGCAGUAGGGAAUCUUCCGCAAUGGGCGAAAGCCUGACGGAGCAACGCCGCGUGAGUGAUGAAGGUCUUCGGAUCGUAAAACUCUGUUAUUAGGGAAGAACAUAUGUGUAAGUAACUGUGCACAUCGUGACGGUACCUAAUCAGAAAGCCACGGCUAACUACGUG